GACGAACGCUGGCGGCGUGCUUAACACAUGCAAGUCGAACGGUGAUGAAGAGCUUGCUCUUUUGAUCAGUGGCGAACGGGUGAGUAACACGUGAGCAACCUACCCUUGACUCUGGGAUAACAGUUGGAAACAGCUGCUAAUACCGGAUAUGAACCUGGCGGGCAUCUGCUGGGUUGGAAAGCUCCGACGGUCAAGGAUGGGCUCGCGGCCUAUCAGCUUGUUGGUGAGGUAAUGGCUCACCAAGGCGACGACGGGUAGCCGGCCUGAGAGGGCGACCGGCCACACUGGGACUGAGAUACGGCCCAGACUCCUACGGGAGGCAGCAGUGGGGAAUAUUGCGCAAUGGGCGAAAGCCUGACGCAGCAACGCCGCGUGCGGGAUGACGGCCU
rnacentral:rRNA from 1 species